CAGUAGGGAGGAAGGUAGUGUAGUUAACACCUGCAUUAUUUGACGUUACCUACAGAAGAAGCACCGGCUAACUCCGUGCCAGCAGCCGCGGUAAUACGGAGGGUGCGAGCGUUAAUCGGAAUUACUGGGCGUAAAGCGCAUGCAGGCGGCCUGUUAAGUCAGAUGUGAAAGCCCGGGGCGUUAACCUCGGAAUUGCAUUUGAAACUAGGCAGGCUAGAGUCUUGUAGAGGGGGGUAGGAAGUUUCAGGUGUAGCGGUGAAAUAGCGUAGAGAUCUGAAGGAAUACCAGUGGCGAAGGCGGCCCCCUCGGACAAAGACUGACGCUCAGAUGCGAAAGCGUGGGGAGCAAACAGGAUUAGAUACCCCUGGUAG
rnacentral:rRNA from 1 species